UCAGGAUGAACGCUGGCGGCGUGCCUAAUACAUGCAAGUCGAGCGAACGGAUAAGGAGCUUGCUCCUUUGAAGUUAGCGGCGGACGGGUGAGUAACACGUGGGUAACCUACCUAUAAGACUGGAAUAACUUCGGGAAACCGGAGCUAAUGCCGGAUAACAUUUGGAACCGCAUGGUUCUAAAGUAAAAGAUGGUUUUGCUAUCACUUAUAGAUGGACCCGCGCCGUAUUAGCUAGUUGGUAAGGUAACGGCUUACCAAGGCAACGAUACGUAGCCGACCUGAGAGGGUGAUCGGCCACACUGGAACUGAGACACGGUCCAGACUCCUACGGGAGGCAGCAGUAGGGAAUCUUCCGCAAUGGACGAAAGUCUGACGGAGCAACGCCGCGUGAGUGAUGAAGGUUUUCGGAUCGUAAAACUCUGUUAUUAGGGAAGAACAAAUGUGUAAGUAACUGUGCACAUCUUGACGGUACCUAAUCAGAAAGCCACGGCUAACUACGUGCCAGCAGCCGCGGUAAUACGUAGGUGGCAAGCGUUAUCCGGAAUUAUUGGGCGUAAAGCGCGCGUAGGCGGUUUCUUAAGUCUGAUGUGAAAGCCCACGGCUCAACCGUGGAGGGUCAUUGGAAACUGGGAAACUUGAGUACAGAAGAGGAAAGUGGAAUUCCAUGUGUAGCGGUGAAAUGCGCAGAGAUAUGGAGGAACACCAGUGGCGAAGGCGACUUUCUGGUCUGUAACUGACGC
rnacentral:rRNA from 1 species